rnacentral:rRNA from 1 species
ACUCCUACGGGAGGCAGCAGUGGGGAAUCUUGCGCAAUGCGCGAAAGCGUGACGCAGCAACGCCGCGUGGGGGAAGAAGGCUUUCGGGUUGUAAACCCCUUUCAGUUGGGACGAAGCCUCGGCGGUGAAUAGCCGUUCGGGGUGACGGUACCUUCACAAGAAGCACCGGCYAACUACGUGCCAGCAGCCGCGGUAAUACGUAGGGUGCAAGCGUUGUCCGGAAUUAUUGGGCGUAAAGAGCGUGUAGGCGGCCCGAUUAGUCCSCUSUGAAAGUCCAGGGCUCAACCCUGGAAUGCCGGUGGAUACUGUCGGGCUAGAGUCCGGAAGGGGCGAGUGGAAUUCCUGGKGUAGCGGUGAAAUGCGCAGAUAUCAGGAGGAACACCAAUGGCGAAGGCAGCUCGCUGGGACGUGACUGACGCUGAGACGSGAAAGCGUGGGGAGCAAACAGGAUUAGAUACCCUGGUAGUCCACSCKGUAAACGAUGGCAACUAGAUGUGGGGGGUGUCGACUCCCCCCGUGUCGAAGCUAACGCAUUAAKUUGCCCGCCUGGGGAGUACGGCCGCAAGGCUAAAACUCAAASGAAUUGACG